rnacentral:lncRNA from 1 species
CUGGAGCCCCCCCAGGGGCUGGACCCCGGCCAGCUGGAGUGGGUCACCAAGGAGCCGGGGGCCACCGUGCUGGCCGGGCUGCUGGUCCGCGUGGACUGAGCGAAAAACGCGGGAAUUCGCCCCAAAAAACGGGGGGGGGUUCCCGGGAAAAACGGUCCUGGAAAAUAGGGGGGAAUUCCUUUGGGAAAUGUGGGGGAAUUCUUCUGAAAAUGGGGGAAUUCAACCCAAAAAUGGGCAAAUUCUUCCUAAAAAAAUUGGGGGAAUUCUUCCAAAAAUGGGGAAAUUAUUCCCAAAAAAUUGGGGGAAUUCAACCCAAAAAUGGGCAAAUUCUUCCCCAAAAAAAUUGGGAGAAUUCUUCUGAAAAUGGGGGAAUUCAACCCAAAAAUGGGCAAAUUCUUCCCCCAAAAAAUUGGGAGAAUUCUUCUGAAAAUGGGCAAAUUCUUCCCAAAAAAUUGGGGGAAUUCUUCCAAAAAUGGGGGAAUUCAACCCAAAAAUGGGCAAAUUCUUCCCCCCAAAAAAUUGGAGGAAUUCUUCCAAAAAUGGGGGAAUUCAACCCAAAAAUGGGCAAAUUCUUCCCCAAAAAAAAUUGGGGGAAUUCUUCCAAAAAUGGGGGAAUUCCACCCAAAAAUGGGCAAAUUAUUCCCCAAAAAA